UACAGAGGGGGCAAGCGUUGUUCGGAAUUACUGGGCGUAAAGGGCGCGUAGGCGGCCUGUUAAGUCGAACGUGAAAUCCCCGGGCUCAACCCGGGAACUGCGUCCGAUACUGGCAGGCUUGAAUUCGGGAGAGGGAUGCGGAAUUCCAGGUGUAGCGGUGAAAUGCGUAGAGAUCGUAAGGAAGACCAGUGGCGAAGGCGGGGUC
rnacentral:rRNA from 1 species